rnacentral:rRNA from 1 species
CCUACGGGGGGCAGCAGUGGGGAAUAUUGCGCAAUGGGCGAAAGCCUGACGCAGCGACGCCGCGUGAGGGAUGACGGUCUUCGGAUCGUAAACCUCUGUCAGCAGGGAAGUAAGGUCACUGUGCUAAUCAGCAGUGAAUUGACGGUACCUGCAAAGGAAGCACCGACUAACUCCGUGACAGCAGCCGCGGUAAUACGGAGGGUGCGAGCGUUAAUCGGAAUUACUGGGCGUAAAGCGCUCGUAGGCGGUAUGUCAAGUCAGGGGUGAAAGCCCCCGGCUCAACGUGGGAACUGCCUUUGAAACUGGCAAACUGGAGUGUGGGAGAGGAUAGUGGAAUUCCAGGUGUAGGAGUGAAAGCCGUAGAUAUCUGGAGGAACAUCAGUGGCGAAGGCGACUAUCUGGCACAUAACUGACGCUGAGGAGCGAAAGCGUGGGUAGCAAACAGGAUUAGAUACCCUAGUAGUC